rnacentral:rRNA from 1 species
AUUGAACGCUGGCGGAAGGCCUAACACAUGCAAGUCGAACGAGUGGCGGACGGGUGAGUAAUGUCUGGGAAACUGCCUGAUGGAGGGGGAUAACUACUGGAAACGGUAGCUAAUACCGCAUACCAUCAGAUGUGCCCAGAUGGGAGUAGCUUGUUGGUGGGGUAACGGCUCACCAAGGCGACGAUCCCUAGCUGGUCUUAGAGGAUGACCAGCCACACUGGGAAUGAGACACGGUCCCAACUCCCACGGGAUGCAUCCUUUGGGAAUUUUUCACAAUGGGUGCAAGCCUGAUUGAGCCAUGCCGCGUGGUAUGAUAAGGCCUUCGGGUUGUAAAGGACUUUCAGCCGGGAGGCGUUACCCGCAGAAGAAGCACCGGCUAACUCCGUGCCAGCAGCCGCGGUAAUAC